rnacentral:rRNA from 1 species
UGGUGGAGUGAUUUGUCUGGUUAAUUCCGAUAACGAACGAGACCCCAACCUGCUAACUAGACUGCGCUAUCUUCUCGAUAGCUCAGCGCUUCUUAGAGGGACAUUUCGGAUUUACCGGAAGGAAGUUUGGGGCGAUAACA